UACGGAGGGUGCAAGCGUUGCUCGGAAUUAUUGGGCGUAAAGGGUAGGUAGGUGGUCUCAUUUGUCUGAGGUGAAAUCCUUGAGCUUAACUCAAGAAGUGCCUUAGAAACGGUGAGACUAGAGUUCUGGAGAGGGUCGUGGAAUUCCCGGUGUAGCGGUGAAAUGCGUAGAGAUCGGGAGGAACACCAGAGGCGAAGGCGGCGACCUGGACAGGCACUGACACUCAACUACGAAAGCGUGGGGAGCAAACAGG
rnacentral:rRNA from 1 species